rnacentral:rRNA from 1 species
GAAAGGCGCGCGAUACAGGGUGACAGCCCCGUACACAAAAAUGCACAUAUUGUGAGCUCGAUGAGUAGGGCGGGACACGUGGUAUCCUGUCUGAAUAUGGGGGGACCAUCCUCCAAGGCUAAAUACUCCUGACUGACCGAUAGUGAACCAGUACCGUGAGGGAAAGGCGAAAAGAACCCCGGCGAGGGGAGUGAAAAAGAACCUGAAACCGUGUACGUACAAGCAGUGGGAGCACGCUUAGGCGUGUGACUGCGUACCUUUUGUAUAAUGGGUCAGCGACUUAUAUUCUGUAGCAAGGUUAACCGAAUAGGGGAGCCGAAGGGAAACCGAGUCUUAACUGGGCGUUAAGUUGCAGGGUAUAGACCCGAAACCCGGUGAUCUAGCCAUGGGCAGGUUGAAGGUUGGGUAACACUAACUGGAGGACCGAACCGACUAAUGUUGAAAAAUUAGCGGAUGACUUGUGGCUGGGGGUGAAAGGCCAAUCAAACCGGGAGAUAGCUGGUUCUCCCCGAAAGCUAUUUAGGUAGCGCCUCGUGAAUUCAUCUCCGGGGGUAGAGCACUGUUUCGGCAAGGGGGUCAUCCCGACUUACCAACCCGAUGCAAACUGCGAAUACCGGAGAAUGUUAUCACGGGAGACACACGGCGGGUGCUAACGUCCGUCGUGAAGAGGGAAACAACCCAGACCGCCAGCUAAGGUCCCAAAGUCAUGGUUAAGUGGGAAACGAUGUGGGAAGGCCCAGACAGCCAGGAUGUUGGCUUAGAAGCAGCCAUCAUUUAAAGAAAGCGUAAUAGCUCACUGGUCGAGUCGGCCUGCGCGGAAGAUGUAACGGGGCUAAACCAUGCACCGAAGCUGCGGCAGCGACGCUUAUGCGUUGUUGGGUAGGGGAGCGUUCUGUAAGCCUGUGAAGGUGUGCUGUGAGGCAUGCUGGAGGUAUCAGAAGUGCGAAUGCUGACAUAAGUAACGAUAAAGCGGGUGAAAAGCCCGCUCGCCGGAAGACCAAGGGUUCCUGUCCAACGUUAAUCGGGGCAGGGUGAGUCGACCCCUAAGGCGAGGCCGAAAGGCGUAGUCGAUGGGAAACAGGUUAAUAUUCCUGUACUUGGUGUUACUGCGAAGGGGGGACGGAGAAGGCUAUGUUGGCCGGGCGACGGUUGUCCCGGUUUAAGCGUGUAGGCUGGUUUUCCAGGCAAAUCCGGAAAAUCAAGGCUGAGGCGUGAUGACGAGGCACUACGGUGCUGAAGCAACAAAUGCCCUGCUUCCAGGAAAAGCCUCUAAGCAUCAGGUAACAUCAAAUCGUACCCCAAACCGACACAGGUGGUCAGGUAGAGAAUACCAAGGCGCUUGAGAGAACUCGGGUGAAGGAACUAGGCAAAAUGGUGCCGUAACUUCGGGAGAAGGCACGCUGAUAUGUAGGUGAAGCGACUUGCUCGUGGAGCUGAAAUCAGUCGAAGAUACCAGCUGGCUGCAACUGUUUAUUAAAAACACAGCACUGUGCAAACACGAAAGUGGACGUAUACGGUGUGACGCCUGCCCGGUGCCGGAAGGUUAAUUGAUGGGGUCAGCGCAAGCGAAGCUCUUGAUCGAAGCCCCGGUAAACGGCGGCCGUAACUAUAACGGUCCUAAGGUAGCGAAAUUCCUUGUCGGGUAAGUUCCGACCUGCACGAAUGGCGUAAUGAUGGCCAGGCUGUCUCCACCCGAGACUCAGUGAAAUUGAACUCGCUGUGAAGAUGCAGUGUACCCGCGGCAAGACGGAAAGACCCCGUGAACCUUUACUAUAGCUUGACACUGAACAUUGAGCCUUGAUG